GUGCCAGCAGCCGCGGUAAUACGUAGGGGGCAAGCGUUGUCCGGAAUUAUUGGGCGUAAAGCGCGCGCAGGCGGUCAUUUAAGUCUGGUGUUUAAACCUUGGGCUCAACCUGGGGUCGCACUGGAAACUGGGUGACUUGAGUACAGAAGAGGAAAGUGGAAUUCCACGUGUAGCGGUGAAAUGCGUAGAGAUGUGGAGGAACACCAGUGGCGAAGGCGACUUUCUGGGCUGUAACUGACGCUGAGGCGCGAAAGCGUGGGGAGCAAACAGGAUUAGAUACCCUGGUAGUCC
rnacentral:rRNA from 1 species